UCAGAAUCUCUCUUCUGCACAGAUGCACAG
rnacentral:piRNA from 1 species